rnacentral:rRNA from 1 species
GACGAACGCUGGCGGCGUGCCUAAUACAUGCAAGUCGAGCGGACAGAAGGGAGCUUGCUCCCGGAAGUCAGCGGCGGACGGGUGAGUAACACGUGGGCAACCUGCCCUGCAGAUUGGGAUAACUCCGGGAAACCGGGGCUAAUACCGAAUAACAUUGGAAACCUCAUGGUUUCCUUUUAAAAGGCGGCUUCGGCUGUCACUGCAGGAUGGGCCCGCGGCGCAUUAGCUAGUUGGUGAGGUAACGGCUCACCAAGGCGACGAUGCGUAGCCGACCUGAGAGGGUGAUCGGCCACACUGGGACUGGGACACGGCCCAGACUCCUACGGGAGGCAGCAGUAGGGAAUCUUCCGCAAUGGACGAAAGUCUGACGGAGCAACGCCGCGUGAGUGAAGAAGGUUUUCGGAUCGUAAAACUCUGUUGUCAGGGAAGAACAAGUACGGUAGUAACUGCCCGUACCUUGACGGUACCUGGCCAGAAAGCCACGGCUAACUACGUGCCAGCCGCCGCGGUAACAC